rnacentral:rRNA from 1 species
UGGGGAAUAUUGGACAAUGGGGGCAACCCUGAUCCAGCAAUGCCGCGUGUGUGAAGAAGGUCUUCGGAUUGUAAAGCACUUUCGACGGGGACGAUGAUGACGGUACCCGUAGAAGAAGCCCCGGCUAACUUCGUGCCAGCAGCCGCGGUAAUACGAAGGGGGCUAGCGUUGCUCGGAAUGACUGGGCGUAAAGGGCGUGUAGGCGGUUUACACAGUCAGAUGUGAAAUCCCCGGGCUUAACCUGGGAGCUGCAUUUGAUACGUGUAGACUAGAGUGUGAGAGAGGGUUGUGGAAUUCCCAGUGUAGAGGUGAAAUUCGUAGAUAUUGGGAAGAACACCGGUGGCGAAGGCGGCAACCUGGCUCAUGACUGACGCUGAGGCGCGAAAGCGUGGGGAGCAAACAGGAUUAGAUACCCUGGUAGUCCACGCUGUAAACGAUGUGUGCUAGAUGUUGGGUAACCUUUUGGU